CGGGUGAGUAACGCGUGGAUAACCUGCCUCACACUGGGGGAUAACAGUUAGAAAUGACUGCUAAUACCGCAUAAGCGCACAGUACCGCAUGGUACAGUGUGAAAAACUCCGGUGGUGUGAGAUGGAUCCGCGUCUGAUUAGCCAGUUGGCGGGGUAACGGCCCACCAAAGCGACGAUCAGUAGCCAACCUGAGAGGGUGACCGGCCACAUUGGGACUGAGACACGGCCCAA
rnacentral:rRNA from 1 species